GUGGGGAAUCUUGCGCAAUGGGCGAAAGCCUGACGCAGCAACGCCGCGUGGAGGAUGAAGGCCCUUGGGUUGUAAACUCCUGUCGGUUGGGAAGAAAUCUUACGGGGCUAAUACCUCCGUAAGUUGACUGUACCAGCAAAGGAAGCCCCGGCUAACUCUGUGCCAGCAGCCGCGGUAAUACAGAGGGGGCCAGCGUUAUUCGGAAUUAUUGGGCGUAAAGGGCGCGUAGGCGGCCAUGCGUGUCUUUCGUGAAAUCCCUCGGCUUAACUGAGGACGUGCGGAAGAAACUGCAAGGCUUGAGUCCGGGAGAGGGGGGUGGAAUUCCCAGUGUAGCGGUGAAAUGCGUAGAUAUUGGGAGGAACACCGGUGGCGAAGGCGGCCCCCUGGACCGGUACUGACGCUGAGGCGCGAAAGCGUGGGUAGCAAACGGGAUUAGAUACCCCAGUAGUCC
rnacentral:rRNA from 1 species